rnacentral:lncRNA from 1 species
ACAGCACAGUAACAUACAUGUUUUCGUUACUUUUCUCCUAUCACUACUCCUUGUCAGAUUUCUGUUUUUCCUCUGGGAUUUUCCUUUCUGCAGUGUGCUGUAGGGGCUAAAGCUUGAACAACCAGUGAGUUGACUAGACAGAGGCUCUGCUUUCUGGGACACCCUGGGGGUAUUUUAAUUCAUCACGUCGUAUGGAAUCCCACUACAACCCACGCACAGACCAAGAGUGCCACCAAAGAGAUGCUGUUGAAGCCUUGAACAACUUCUGCAGGCAGGGAGUGAAUAUUUCAUUCAAAAGAUAUUUCACCAACGUGAGCAAAGCAGAGUGUGAGUCCGCUGACCACUCACUGGGAAUUUGUUGUGCACAUCAUCAAACCAACAAGUCCUUGCAUGAAUAAUAAGAAUAGAGCAGUCGGGAUAUCUACCGACCAUGUGACCAGGAUGGUGAUGGUGGCUGUGAAAUGCUUGGGAAGA